GAUGAACGCUGGCGGCGUGCCUAAUACAUGCCAGUCGAGCGAACGGACGAGAAGCUUGCUUCUCUGAUGUUAGCGGCGGACGGGUGAGUAACACGUGGAUAACCUACCUAUAAGACUGGGAUAACUUCGGGAAACCGGAGCUAAUACCGGAUGAUAUUUUGAACCGCAUGGUUCAAAAGUGAAAGACGGUCUUGCUGUCACUUAUAGAUGGAUCCGCGCUGCAUUAGCUAGUUGGUAAGGUAACGGCUUACCAAGGCAACGAUGCAUAGCCGACCUGAGAGGGUGAUCGGCCACACUGGAACUGAGACACGGUCCAGACUCCUACGGGAGGCAGCAGUAGGGAAUUUUCCGCAAUGGGCGAAAGCCUGACGGAGCAACGCCGCGUGAGUGAUGAAGGUCUUCGGAUCGUAAAACUCUGUUAUUAGGGAAGAACAUAUGUGUAAGUAACUGUGCACAUCUUGACGGUACCUAAUCAGAAAGCCACGGCUAACUACGUG
rnacentral:rRNA from 1 species